rnacentral:rRNA from 1 species
AUUGAACGCUGGCGGAAUGCUUUACACAUGCAAGUCGAACGGUUGUAGCAAUACAGCAGUGGCAGACGGGUGAGUAACACGUGGGAACCUUCCUAGGGGUACGGAACAACUCAGGGAAACUUGAGCUAAUACCGUAUACGUCCGUGAGGAGAAAGAUUUAUCGCCCUUAGACGGGCCCGCGUCGGAUUAGCUAGUUGGUGGGGUAACGGCCUACCAAGGCGACGAUCCGUAGCUGAUCUUAGAGGAUGAUCAGCCACACUGGGACUGAGACACGGCCCAGACUCCUACGGGAGGCAGCAGUGGGGAAUCUUGGACAAUGGGCGCAAGCCUGAUCCAGCCAUGCCGCGUGAGUGAAGAAGGUCUUCGGAUUGUAAAGCUCUUUUUGCCAGGGACGAUAAUGACGGUACCUGGAGAAUAAGCCCCGGCAAACUUCGUGCCAGCAGCCGCAGUAA